UGGGGAAUAUUGCACAAUGGGCGGAAGCCUGAUGCAGCGACGCCGCGUGAGGGAUGACGGCCUUCGGGUUGUAAACCUCUUUCAGUAGGGACGAAGCGUAAGUGACGGUACCUGCAGAAGAAGCACCGGCUAACUACGUGCCAGCAGCCGCGGUAAUACGUAGGGUGCGAGCGUUGUCCGGAAUUACUGGGCGUAAAGAGCUCGUAGGCGGUUUGUCACGUCGUCUGUGAAAUCCUAGGGCUUAACCCUGGACGUGCAGGCGAUACGGGCUGACUUGAGUGCGGUAGGGGAAGGUGGAAUUCCUAGUGUAGCGGUGGGAUGCGCAGAUAUUAGGAAGAACACCGGUGGCGAAGGCGGCCUUCUGGGCCAUAACUGACGCUGAGGAGCGAAAGCUAGGGGGGCGAACAGG
rnacentral:rRNA from 1 species